AAACAACGAGAAGAACCUUAACAGGUCUAGACAUACUAUGCAAAUCUAAGAGAUUAGACGUUCCCUUCGGGGACAUGGAUACAGGUGGUGCAUGGUUGUCGUCAGCUCGUGUCGUGAGAUGUUGGGUUAAGUCCCGCAACGAGCGCAACCCUUAUUAUCAGUUGCCAGCAUUAAGUUGGGCACUCUGGUGAGACUGCCGGUGACAAACCGGAGGAAGGUGGGGAUGACGUCAAAUCAUCAUGCCCCUUAUGACCUGGGCUACACACGUGCUACAAUGGAUGGUACAACGAGUUGCGAACUCGCGAGAGUAAGCUAAUCUCUUAAAGCCAUUCUCAGUUCGGAUUGUAGGCUGCAACUCGCCUACAUGAAGUCGGAAUCGCUAGUAAUCGCGGAUCAGCAUGCCGCGGUGAAUACGUUCCCGGGCCUUGUACACACCGCCCGUCACACCAUGAGAGUUUGUAACACCCAAAGUCGGUGGGGUAACCUUUUAGGAACCAGCCGCCUUAAGGUGGACCAGAAAUUGGG
rnacentral:rRNA from 2 species